AUUUGGAACGAGGAAAAAACAUUACACAAUUUUUAUAUAGGAACAUAGAGAAAAUGAGUGCCUGAAAGAAUGUCAUUAUGCAACCUGAAGAAAGGAGAAAGCCUAUCAGAUUGAGCACUAAAUGAAUGAUUUCUGGGUUUCAGCAAUGCAAGUAAUUAACAUAAAGGAAAUGCAUGGUUGCAUAUCAGCACAUUGAUUUUUGUGAUCCCCCUGAGUUCUUUCAGAUCCGUUGAUUGCUUUUGCGCAUCAUCAAUUCCUGAUUAAAAAGGGACAAAUGACUCAAGUGAAAAUUGCAUAUAUAAAAAGAUCAAGUCCCAGCUUGUUAGCAUGACAUUCAAGACUCAUCUCUACCAAAUGGGAACGCUAAUUCUUGUCAAAAAGCCAAGAAUGUAUGCUCUUUAUGACUUUUGCCUGGAAGGCUAAGGAGAUGGUGGGAAUUCAGAGGAGGAGAAGAGCCAGUCUACGGGAAAUCACCAUGAGAAGUUCCCGGAUGCCCUGCAGGGCUCCAUCAUCAGCACUGGUGCAGCUUGGGCAGCCUCUGCACCACCAAUACCCAGCCCUGAGCAGGUGGAUUGAAGACUAGGUGGCAGUGGGAUAGGAAUGACCCUAUUACUUACUGAAGAUUUGCGAUUCUUCACGGUACAAGCACCAGUGAAGUAUGUAACGCAGAUGCUAUGAAGAGGCCAGAGUGGAAAACUGAAACGGACAUCCCUUCCGUUUUAUCUUGAGAUUAUUAUGUGGAUUGCCAUUUAAAUGCGUGGGUGACCUAAUAUACAGUUUAUACCUGAAGACCUCUAAUCAGAUUUUUGUAUCUGAAGCUUACUUUCCCAUUGCAAAUAGACAAAAAAGAAUCACACAAGGCUUUAGAAAUGCAGCUGUCAUAUAAAAGCCAGAAUCGGAGUUGCGUAGAGUUAACUGUCAUCUCUUUCCUCAACAUGAUCAAUAUAUAAUGUAAAGGACCUUCUAGGUCCUUCACACAGGAUUGAGGGCUAUGGUUUUAGGAAUGCGAGUCAUGACUGUAGAGCUAGGAUUAACACACAUAAAAAGAAGAGAGUUAACGUUUUACAAUCCAUCACAUGUCAAGCACUAUGCUGAGUUUGCAAACAUUACAUAUGUAGACUCUCCCAACUACCCUGAGAUAAUAUUUUUAGCCCAUCUCCCAGACAAGGCCCAGAGGGAUAAGCAAUCCAUGUAAAACUAUGAUUUAUAAUGAAAGGCUAGCAUAUUUGAGUGCUUAACAUGUGCCCAGUGCUCUGCUAAGCACUUUCAGGGUCUGAUGUAACCCUGGGCACACGGAUAGAAUCCCCGUCUUCAGGUAGGAGCCCUGGCUCUGAAGGCAAGACCUGUCCAUCAUCACACAGGGAGAAAGUGGUGAAGCCACACUGCAGGGCUCCACAGUGCCAGGCAGGCUCCUCAACAACUCAAUACAAUUUGUUCCAACACUUCCACUUUCUAAUAAAUAUCUUACAAGGCCUCCUUGCAAAAUCCUGACAUGAAAUUCACAGAUAAUAUAACCUAGUUACACAAAUGAUUUCAAGAAAGCCAACAGAAA